rnacentral:rRNA from 1 species
GACGAACGCUGGCGGCGUGCCUAAUACAUGCAAGUUGAGCGCUGAAGGUUGGUACUUGUACCAACUGGAUGAGCAGCGAACGGGUGAGUAACGCGUGGGGAAUCUGCCUUUGAGCGGGGGACAACAUUUGGAAACGAAUGCUAAUACCGCAUAAAAACUUUAAACACAAGUUUUAAGUUUGAAAGAUGCAAUUGCAUCACUCAAAGAUGAUCCCGCGUUGUAUUAGCUAGUUGGUGAGGUAAAGGCUCACCAAGGCGAUGAUACAUAGCCGACCUGAGAGGGUGAUCGGCCACAUUGGGACUGAGACACGGCCCAAACUCCUACGGGAGGCAGCAGUAGGGAAUCUUCGGCAAUGGACGAAAGUCUGACCGAGCAACGCCGCGUGAGUGAAGAAGGGUGUCGGACCGUAAAACUCGGUUGGUAGAGAAGAACGUUGGUGAGAGUGGAAAGCUCAUCAAGUGACGGUAACUACCCAGAAAGGGACGGCUAACUACGUG